rnacentral:rRNA from 1 species
UGAACGCUGGCGGCGUGCUUAACACAUGCAAGUCGCACGAGAACGCUUUAGCUUGCUAGAGCUAGUAAAGUGGCGCACGGGUGAGUAACGCGUGGGUAAUCUACCCUUGAAUUCGGGACAACACUUCGAAAGGGGUGCUAAUACCGGAUAACAUCAUAAAGUCUUUGGAUUAUAUGAUCGAAGGUGGCCUCUCCAUGGAAGCUACUGUUUGAGGAUGAGCCCGCGUACCAUUAGCUUGUUGGUGAGGUAACGGCUCACCAAGGCUACGAUGGUUAGCUGGUCUGAGAGGAUGAUCAGCCACACUGGAACUGACACACGGUCCAGACUCCUACGGGAGGCAGCAGUGAGGAAUUUUGCGCAAUGGGCGAAAGCCUGACGCAGCAACGCCGCGUGAGUGAUGAAGGCUCUUGGGUCGUAAAGCUCUGUCAAGUGGGAAGAACCGACGAAAUGUUAAUAUCAUAUUGUCCUGACGGUACCACUGAAGGAAGCACCGGCUAACUCC